CUACGGGUUGCUGCAGUGGGGAAUAUUGCACAAUGGGCGCAAGCCUGAUGCAGCCAUGCCGCGUGUAUGAAGAAGGCCUUCGGGUUGUAAAGUACUUUCAGCGGGGAGGAAGGGAGUAAAGUUAAUACCUUUGCUCAUUGACGUUACCCGCAGAAGAAGCACCGGCUAACUCCGUGCCAGCAGCCGCGGUAAUACGGAGGGUGCAAGCGUUAAUCGGAAUUACUGGGCGUAAAGCGCACGCGGGCGGUUUGUUAAGUCAGAUGUGAAAUCCCCGGGCUCAACCUGGGAACUGCAUCUGAUACUGGCAAGCUUGAGUCUCGUAGAGGGGGGUAGAAGUCCAGGUGUAGCGGUGAAAUGCGUAGAGAUCUGGAGGAAUACCGGUGGCGAAGGCGGCCCCCUGGACGAAGACUGACGCUCAGGUGCGAAAGCGUGGGGAGCAAACAGGAUUAGAUACCCGUGUAGUC
rnacentral:rRNA from 1 species